ensembl:lncRNA
GGGGUUUUAUCCAGGAAUCCUCCACCACACCCAGAUGGUCUGUGAGUUUUAAAUGGGAAACAGUCCCAGCUGAACCCCCUAGUCCUGCCUGGCCUAUUCCCCUAGAAGGAUGGUGUUCUAUCCUCUAUUCAGACUUGCCAUCUUAGGAGUCUCUCUGGACCAACUCAUUUAAAAAUGUGGGACUAGAAAUGGAAACAACAAUAAAAAAUCCCUGUUGGUGGCUUGCCCAGGGAUCCUUACCUUUUGGUAGAUUUUGGUUUUCCAGAAGGUUGGUAAAGAUGGAAUCCCCACCAGGAAGCACAGGAACAGAAGAAGCAACCACAACCCACACACGAUGGUGAGGUUAUAGUCACUAUCUAAGAAUGUUGAGCAGAUGCUCAAAAACAACUCAAUAUGGCUAUUCAGAAAUGAGAGAACAUUCCAUUGACUGAACUCCAUUUUCUGAAUCGCAAGGCUGCCUGAGGCAACUGAGCUCUGAGAGUGUCCGCACUUGCCUAUAAUCCCAGGCCUGCAUCACAGAGCACUGAAGAGUCACAAAGGGUUUCAGAGGGUGGGGGAGGGGACAUGAAGAGGGUGUGCCCAUGGCCCCUUCCCCCCACCAGCCCAGCUGAUCUCUCCAUCCAUCCUGGGCCCUCCAGGUCCCUCUGCCCUACCCUGCCAUCCUAUUUUCCAACUCUGUCCGUUCAUCAUAUCAUACAAUUACAUUAAUGGAAUUUUCUGCCUGUUCCACCUGUACUCCAGAUAUUACCUGGGCCCCCUUUAGUGUUUGGAGAGCUUGACUUUGGUUUCACCAAUUCCACUGCCUCGAAAGUCUGAAAUGCUCCCUGGAAUUUUUGCUUGUACCCAGACAUUUACACUCAGAAUCAUAUAUGUCCUCAAAUCCAUCUUUCCUUUAGAAUGUUUUUGCCUUACAUGAACCCUGAUAUAGAACUUAAAGUUCUUUAUUCAUUUGGUUUUGUGAAUGUCGAAUAACAAAUUUUAGUUUUUUGCUUCAGUCAGCCUUUACCGUCUUCAGCCAGUGGGGCUGACUCAAAUAAUUGAAAUGAAUAAUUCAUUAUUCAACAUUCACAAGACUAAAAUCAGUACAGGCACACCUCACUUAUUGAAAGGGAUUUUUUUUGAGAAAUGCAUCAUUAGGCACUUUCACUGUUGUGUGAACAUCACACAGCGUACUUACACAAACCUAAGUGGUAGAGCCUACUACAUACCUAGGCUAUGUGGUGCUACCCGUAUGGGACCACUGUCAUAUAUGUGGUCCAUUAGUGACCGAAACAUCGUUAAUAUUGUUACAUGGUGUGUGACUGUGGUGGAUGACAAUGACAAAACGGAGUACCAUUUUCAAGGCUUCUAAAAUGGAGCUGGGAGGCCAUUAAGGAAGUGGGGCUUAUGCUUGUACACCACAUCCACCACCAGAUGUUAACUGAACUUUUGAGCUUUACCUGACAGCAGAGGUCACAUCUUGAAGUGUUUCCUCAUUCCAAGAAGGGACAGUCUGCCUAGGACCAACUAUGUUCUGGCAAGUCAGCUCACCCCAUGCCAGAACCAGUCAUUAACUGUUCACUGUGGACCUUUGUAAGCCUGUGUCCUUUCCUUUUAUCUACCCCUGCCUCCUUUGUCUUCCUAGGAGCACAUUUGAGCUUCUACUCAAAUCUACAUCUCCUGAAUUGCAAUUCUUGAGACCCCAAAUAAACUUUUUGGUUCUUUUGCAGUUUAUGCCUCUUAUUUGCUGACUUUACAUGGUGACAGAAGCGGGAUCCCUAGCUACUGACCUUCAAUUCUGGUGCCACUUCACAGACACAAGCAAGGUGCCUGCAAAGAAUCUUUUGUGCUCUGUCGUCUCCUCCUGGUGGCUCUGGUUCCUGGUGGUUUCUCAAGAACUUGCUCCCAGAAAAAACCUGGAUGGAGAACAAAACAGGUAAGUGCCCAAGUGAGAAAUCUACAAAGCUCCUCUCCCCCAAAAUCAUCUCUUCCCCAUCAGUUGUGGGGCCUAACAUUUCACCAAUGGGGUUCCGUUCUUUCAAG